GUCACGUUGCUUCUUAAACAUGUUAUCUCAAAUAUGCACAUCAGUUUUAACAUCUUCCAUUGGCCAGAAAUAAUUGGGAUCUUACUGAAUUUUGUCUGGGGAUAUGUUGCUUCAAUGCGAAUCCACUUCUGGGGACAGUUUGCCAUUAUAAAUGGUUAUACCUGGAAAGUGAGUGCAAGGGAACCCUCGUCCUUCUCCACUCGCUGCUUCCUGGUAGAUGGUGAUAGUUUCAGCAUCUAAAUUGGAAUCAAAAUGAAGAAGCCAUAUAUUAAAGAUGAGUAAACCAGCGCUGGACUACUACACUAACUAUGAACUGCUUGGUUACCUUUCCACGUUGUCCUCUUUGGAAGCUGGUCAUAUGCACAGCCUACAUUUAUGGAGU